rnacentral:rRNA from 1 species
UACGGAGGGUGCAAGCGUUGUCCGGAAUCACUGGGCGUAAAGGGCGCGUAGGCGGCUCGGUAAGUAGGGGGUGAAAUCCUGCGGCUUAACCGCAGGGCUGCCUUCUAAACUGUCGAGCUCGAGCACGGUAGAGGCAGAUGGAAUUCCCGGUGUAGCGGUGGAAUGCGUAGAGAUCGGGAAGAACACCAAUGGCGAAGGCAGCUCGCUGGGACGUGACUGACGCUGAGACGCGAAAGCGUGGGGAGCAAACAGG